rnacentral:rRNA from 1 species
UACGUAGGUGGCAAGCGUUACUCGGAAUCACUAGGCGUAAAGCGCAGGUAGGAGGUUUGAUAAGUCUGUUGUGAAAGCUCCCGGCUUAACUGGGAGAGGUCAACGGAAACUGUCAGGCUAGAGUGUGGUAGAGGUAGCUGGAAUUCCCGGAUGUAGCGGUGAAAUGCGUAGAUAUCGGGAGGAAUACCUAUGGCGAAAGCAGGCUACUGGACCAUCACUGACUCUGAUCUGCGAAAGCUAGGGGAGCAAACAGG